CUCAUAGCGUAUAUUUAAGUUGUUGCAGUUAAAAAGCUCGUAGUCGGAUUUUGGCUGAGAACGAACGGUCCGCCGUUAGGUGUGCACUGUUUGGUCUCAGCUUCCUGGUGAGGAGGUGUGCUUCACGGCCACUUAGUCACCGUGGUUACUUUGAAAAAAUUAGAGUGUUCAAAGCGGGCUUACGCUUGAAUAUAUUAGCAUGGAAUAACACCAUAGGACUCCUGUCCUAUUUCGUUGGUCUCGGGACGGGAGUAAUGGUUAAGAGGAACAGUUGGGGGCAUUCGUAUUUCAUUGUCAGAGGUGAAAUUCUUGGAUUUAUGAAAGACGAACUUCUGCGAAAGCAUUUGCCAAGGAUGUUUUCAUUGAUCAAGAACGAAAGUUGGGGGCUCGAAGAUGAUUAGAUACCAUCCUAGUCUCAACCAUAAACGAUGCCGACUAGGGAUUGGCGGAUGUUAAUUGAUGACUUCGCCAGCACCUUAUGAGAAAUCAAAGUUUUUGGGUUCCGGGGGGAGUAUGGUCGCAAGGCUGAAACUUAAAGGAAUUGACGGAAGGGCACCACCAGGCGUGGAGCCUGCGGCUUAAUUUGACUCAACACGGGGAAACUUACCAGGUCCAGACAUAGUAAGGAUUGACAGAUUGAGAGCUCUUUCUUGAUUCUAUGGGUGGUGGUGCAUG
rnacentral:rRNA from 1 species